rnacentral:rRNA from 1 species
UACGUAGGGGGCAAGCGUUGUCCGGAUUUAUUGGGCGUAAAGAGCGUGUAGGCGGUUUGGUAGGUCCGCUGUGAAAACUCGAGGCUCAACCUCGAGACGCCGGUGGAAACCAUCAGGCUAGAGUCCGGAAGAGGAGAGUGGAAUUCCUGGUGUAGCGGUGAAAUGCGCAGAUAUCAGGAAGAACACCGGUGGCGAAGGCGGGUCUCUGGGCCGAUACUGACACUGAGGAGCGAAAGCGUGGGGAGCGAACAGG